AGCCUACUUCCAGCAGAUCAUGACAAGUCUGGGUCCUGUUAAUACUGGUACCAGUACUACAGCUCCUAUGAAGAGAUCAGCCGCCAUGGACAAGGACAACGAUUAUUUGCUGACUUCAAACAAACAGCAACAAGGGAUGGUCUGAAAGAAUGGAAGAAACGGACAAGAAAUGCUGUUAAUUGUUAGCCUCUUUGUUGUA